rnacentral:lncRNA from 1 species
GAUCGACGACAUUGACGACGAGGCCUGCAAGAAGGAGGUCUACUACUACGAGAAGAUGGAGGUGUCCAACUACAACAACGACAUCCUGCUGGCCGAGGCCUGCCGCACCGACGUGGAGAAGUUCUGCAACAACAUCGAGGCGGGCGAGGGCCGCGUGCACAAGUGCCUGCGCGACAACCGCAAGAAGCUGUCCGACACCUGCCGCAAGGAGGAGCUGCUGCUGGAGGAGAAGGAGGCCGAUUCCAUCGAGCUCAACGUGUCGCUGCUCAAGUCCUGCAAGGCCGAGCGCCAGCUGUUC